rnacentral:misc_RNA from 1 species
GGUGGGGUUCGUUUCCCGCUCUGAAUACCA